AUUGAACGCUGGCGGCAUGCCUUACACAUGCAAGUCGAACGGCAGCACGGGUGCUUGCACCUGGUGGCGAGUGGCGAACGGGUGAGUAAUAUACUGGAACGUACCUUAUUGUGGGGGAUAACUCAGCGAAAGCUGUACAAAUACCGCAUACUCACUUAGGUAAAAAGCGGCGCACCGUAAGGCGUCGCGCAAUCAAAGCGGCAGAAACCUGAGUAGAUCGUUGGUGAGGUAAAGGCUAACCAAAGCGACGAUCAGUAGCUGGUCUGAGAGGACGAUCAGCCACACUGGAACUGAGACACGGCCCAGACUCGUACGGGAGGCAGCAGUGGGGAAUUUUGGACAAUGGGGGCAACCCUGCUCCAGCAAUGCCGCGUGAGUGAAGAAGGCCUUCGGGUUGUAAAGCUCUUUUGUCAGGGAAGAAACAGCAGCUCUAACACAGUAUGCGAAUGACGGUACCUGAAGAAUAAGCACCGGCUUACUACGUGCCAGCCGCCGCGGUAA
rnacentral:rRNA from 1 species